rnacentral:rRNA from 1 species
GACGAACGCUGGCGGCGUGCCUAAUACAUGCAAGUCGAGCGAUCUUGCCUAGAUUAAUUUGGUGCUUGCACUAGCGGACACUAGAUAAACGCGUGCGGCAGAUGGCUGAGAAACACGUGGGUCACCUGCACAAGAGACUGGGUAAACAACUGGAGACAGAUGUUAAUACCGGAUAACAAAAAUAGACGCAUGCAUAGAUAUUAAAAGAUGGUUCUGCUAUCACGCUUGGAUGGACCUGCGGUGCAUUCGCUAGUUGGUAAGGCAACGGUUUACCAAGGCAAUGUAGCAUAGCCGAGUUGAGAGACGGAUCGGCAACAUUGGGACUGGGACACGGCCCAAACUCCUACGGGAGGCGGCAGAAGGGAAUCUUCGACAAUGACCGCAAGUCUGAUGGAGCAACGCCGCGUGAGUGAAGAAGGGUUUCGGCUCUAAAAGCUCUGUUGGUAGGGAAGAAAGAUAGAGGUAGGAACUGGCCAUUAUUUGACGGUAAUUUCUUAGAAAGUCACGGCUAACUACGUG